GCUUAAGGAUAGCUCGGUUGGUAGAGCAUGAGACUCUUAAUCUCAAGGUUGUGGGUUUGAGCCCCACGUUGGGCA
rnacentral:tRNA from 1 species